AGGGGCCACGACCGUUUCAUCUGUGACUUUGAACACGUACGGACGGCUUUAAAAGACCCGGCGAGUGACGUGGGAGUCGGCAAACGAGCGGGUAGCGUUUGCCACAGCUGUCCUCGGGGGCCAUGUGACCAGACAAAGAAUUGAGCAGCAAGGGAGAAAAGAAAAGGGAGGUGUGGAAGGAGCCUCAAUUGUAAAGAGAAAGUGAACGAAGGAACCACAUUGAACCCAGGGGGCUGGCUGGAAAGCGGGGGGACGCGCGCAUGACACGGGCAAAAGUAGGCGGGACCGGCGACUGAAAGACAACCUGACACAUGGAAAGCCCCAAAUGUGCGAGAGUCUACAUGACGACAACACUUUGACUCCACGAUGUAGAUUAGCCGACAAGCGUGGACGUGGUCAUAUUGACUAAAUCCUACAGGGAAGCAGUCGCUGUGCGUGGCGGAGCUGGCAGACAACUAAACAACAACAACAGCAGCAGCAGCAGCAAAAAAAAGGGCCCGCAUGCAGCAGCUGGCAUUGCCACCAAAUGUCCAACAUGAAUUGUGAAUGGCCCCCAUUUGGAAACGCCCACUUUCCACGAGUGACACAUCUUCAAGUCAGGCGUGUGUGCAAAACACGAAAACAAGGCAAGUACACUAUCAUUCCAAAUAAAGACAUCAGCCGUCCGUCCACCUGCGGCCGAGGCCCGGAGCACGUACACGGACCCGGCCGGCCGGCCGGCUACUACUUACUUAGCCACUCGAAGACAGCCUUUCCCAAAAACCAAGCAAAAAGCGCAUUCCACACUUUGUAAACACAACAUCAUGUUUCAAAGAGCUCAACAAGCACUCGCAGACAACUUUUAAAUAAAUAAUAAAUGUCCAACAAAGUGUCU